GAUGAACGCUGGCGGCGUGCUUAACACAUGCUAGUCGAACGGUGAAGCAGAGCUUGCCCUGUGGAUCAGUGGCGAACGGGUGAGUAACACGUUAGCAACCUGCCCCGGACUCUGGGAUAAGCGCUGGAAACGGCGUCUAAUACCGGAUACGAGAUUCCACCGCAUGGUGAGUUUCUGGAAAGAUCUUUUGGUCUGGGAUGGGCUCACGGCCUAUCAGCUUGUUGGUGAGGUAAUGGCUCACCAAGGCGUCGACGGGUAGCCGGCCUGAGAGGGUGACCGGCCACACUGGGACUGGGACGCGGCCCAGACUCCUAAGGGAGUCAGCAGUGGGGAAUAUUGCACAAUGGGCGGAAGCCUGAUGCAGCAACGCCGCGUGAGGGAUGACGGCCUUCGGGUUGUAAACCUCUUUUAGCAGGGAAGAAGCGAAAGUGAUGGUACCUGCAGAAAAAGCGCCGGCUAACUACGUGCCAGCAGCCGCCGUAAUAC
rnacentral:rRNA from 1 species